AACGAACGCUGGCGGCAGGCUUAACACAUGCAAGUCGAACGCUCCGCAAGGAGAGUGGCAGACGGGUGAGUAACACGUGGGAACGUACCCUUUACUACGGAACAACUCCGGGAAACUGGAGCUAAUACCGUAUGUGCCCUUUGAGGGAAAGAUUUAUCGGUAAAGGAUCGGCCCGCGUUGGAUUAGCUAGUUGGUGGGGUAAAGGCCUACCAAGGCGACGAUCCAUAGCUGGUCUGAGAGGAUGAUCAGCCACAUUGGGACUGAGACACGGCCCAAACUCCUACGGGAGGCAGCAGUGGGGAAUAUUGGACAAUGGGCGCAAGCCUGAUACAGCCAUGCCGCGUGUGUGAUGAAGGCCUUAGGGUUGUAAAGCACUUUCACCGGGGAAGAUAAUGACGGUAUCCGGAGAAGAAGCCCCGGCUAACUUCGUGCCAGCAGCCGCCGUAACAC
rnacentral:rRNA from 1 species